ensembl:lncRNA
GGAAAGGCAGAGAGACUGAGAGCGUGAGAUAAAGAUAUACAGCGUUAUCUCUUGUCAUAUCACCACAUCCUGCUUCUUAGGCUUCAUACGGAAGCUGUGUGUUUGUGUUCGCUAGUCCGGCCCGUGUGCGGGUAUGCAUUGGUUUAUACUCCCACAGAGAAGUCAUGGAGCUGUAAAACUGGGCGGUGUGUGUAGCGUGUAUGGGGUUGUGAUCACGGCUGUAUUCUGAUACGAUGUUUACUCUGGGUCCAAAGCAGCUAAAGCCAGACGCCUUGAUCGGGUUCUCACCCAGAUAAGCCCAGGAGGCGUCUUUCCUGACCUUCAGCCUCCGUCAUGUGGUGUGUGUUCGCUGUUAAAUCCUCUGGUCUUCCUGGCUAAAAGAUAAAAGGUGCCAGAAGGAUGAUCUUGGCUUCGUGGGGCUGUGAUGAGAGAACGCAAUCUGAGGAGAGGAUUAAGAGAAAUGAAGAGAGAGGACAGCGGUUUGAUAUCAGCUGCCUCAGUAGCAUUGUAUCUUCACAGAAGCAAACUUGAGACACCAAACAAGUCUUGGCUGAGUGAGUACAUUUGAGGUAAGUGUACAUUUUAUACAUUUUAUUCUUCCUCCAACUAUCACUUAAUGGAGAACUUAACGGAAAACCUCAGGGAGAACUCUUGAAAGUUUGAUU